ACAGGAGAAAGGGGGCAGGGCUUCCAAAGGGUAUGAAAUAUGUUUAAUGUUUAUACUUCAGUACACUAGGAAGACUACAUUAGCUCUAUAGGUAAAAAGAACAAAAUCUACCAUAAGCAAGUUUAAACAGUAAAGAUAACAUGGCUGACAUAACAAAAAAGUUAGAAGGAAUAUAGUCUAUAAUGGUUUGAUUGGGAUUCCACCUCCAUUUUUCUGUGAUUCUUUUAGCUUUGCCCUGCUAUGUUGACUUCUUCCUCAGGCUAGCUUCCUGUAUAGUGCCAAAAGGGGGUGCAGCAACUCCAGGCUUCGUGUCCUACCACACUACAUCUCAAAACCUAGCUUUUGCCGGGCGCGGUGGCGCGCGCCUGUAGUCCUAGCUACUCGGGAGGCUGAGGCAGGAGGAUCGCUUGAGUCCAGGAGUUCUGGGCUGCAGUGCGCUAUGCCGAUCGGGUGUCCGCACUAAGUUUGGCAUCAAUAUGGUGACCUCCCGGGAGCGGGGGACCACCAGGUUGCCUAAGGAGGGGUGAACCGGCCCAGGUCGGAAACGGAGCAGGUCAAAACUCCCCAGAUGGGAAGAG